rnacentral:lncRNA from 1 species
CCUGUGUGUAUUGAAAAUAACAGUACUGGUCUUGCUCGUCACUGACCAGGGACCCAGGAAAGUACAAGGAGAAAAAAAGAAUCAGCAAGGAGAAGGUGCAGAAAUGCCUCUAGUUUGAAGACACAGACAGGAGCUGACAAGAGAAAGGUGACAUGGGUACUCCAGGUUCUUGUAGCAACAUCCUUCUGCAAAGUGAGAGGAAAAGCUCUUUGACUGAUAAAAUCUGCAUCCCCUUUGGUAUGAAGGCUCUGCUGACAACACCCCUGAAGAACCAGCUGGGGUGGAAGGACUCCUCCUUCACGACCAUCCCCUUCUACCUGCCAAGCCAGACUGCUGCCAAUUCAGCUGCAGACUUGGAGCAGGAAUUGAGAGCAGCAGAUGUUGCAGCCUGCUGAAAGCUUCCUGGUGCCUGAGUAUUUGAACUUCUAGAGAAGAGCUCUUGUGGAGAAGGCCACUGACUGACUGCAGGAUUGCAGCAUGCCAUAAUUUUGGAUGACUUCAGUGUUUUACUGUGAAAUUUCCUCAUGGAGGAAAAUGUAUCAGGAUCUUCCUAGCACUCUGUAAAGUCACUCAAAGUUGGUCCUGCCUCUCUGCUACCUUGUUGGAGUCUUCUUGAAGUGCUGCAGUGCUGUUGGUAGUGGCUUUGUCCUGUGCUGUUUUGGAAAAGUGAUGGGACUUUUUAUGUGUGCAGUUAGAUUUGAGUCUAUUUGAUCCCUAAGCAAAGGAGAGAGGAAAAGUUAUUGUGUGAGCAUGUUCUGUCCAGGGAGAGGGAGAGAAUAUAUAUUUUUUAAAACAGGAAAGAGAACAUUAUCUGGCUUUUUCACUUUUAUCCUGACACAAUCAUGCCCCAUAAGCCCUUAUAUAUGAAAUAAAACACAUGCAGUUUACUCUUGCUUUAGGCCC